UCUCUGUGAUGUUCCAAUAGAUCCUUCUGACUCUUCACUAUGUACUCAGAAGGGAACUGAAGAAAUUGUAUCGCUGAGAGA